GCCCUCGUAGCUCAGUUUGGAUAGAGCGACUGACUUCUAAUCAGUAGGUCAUGGGUUCAAAUCCCGUCGAGGGCA
rnacentral:tRNA from 1 species